rnacentral:rRNA from 1 species
GACGUAGGGGGCCAGCGUUGUUCGGAAUUACUGGGUGUAAAGGGUUCGUAGGCGGUGUGGCAAGUUGGGAGUGAAAUCUCUGGGCUCAACCCAGAGGCUGCUUCCAAAACUGUUGUGCUUGAGUGUGGGAGAGGCGCGUGGAAUUGCAGGUGUAGCGGUGAAAUGCGUAGAUAUCUGCAGGAACGCCCGUGGCGAAAGCGGCGCGCUGGACCACAACUGACGCUGAGGCGCGAAAGCGUGGGUAGCAAACGGG